UGCACACACAGAGAGGCCUGUCA
rnacentral:piRNA from 1 species